CAGACUGCGGGUGCUAACGUCCGUAGUCAAGAGGAAAACAAUCCAGACCGCCAGCUAAGGCCCCAAAAUCAUAGUUAAGUGGGAAACGAUGUGGGAAGGCAUAGACAGCUAGGAGGUUGGCUUAGAAGCAGCCACCCUUUAAAGAAAGCGUAAUAGCUCACUAGUCGAGUCGGCCUGCGCGGAAGAUGUAACGGGGCUAAAACUAUGUGCCGAAGCUGCGGAUGUAUACUUUGUAUACGUGGUAGGGGAGCGUUCUGUAAGCCGAUGAAGGUGUGUUGAGAAGCAUGCUGGAGGUAUCAGAAGUGCGAAUGCUGACGUGAGUAACGACAAAACGGGUGAAAAACCCGUUCGCCGAAAGACCAAGGGUUCCAGUCCAACGUUAAUCGGGGCUGGGUGAG
rnacentral:rRNA from 1 species